UUAAAAUGUUAUUUUCUUUGAAAAAAGUUAAUGUCUUUUUUAUGUAUGACUCUUUAUCCAACUCAACGAGGCCUGCAUUUUUGUCUCCCAUGGUAACAAUACGAUUUUCUAUUUUAAUUUUAUGUUUCAGAUUUUUAAUGAUGCGAAGAAUUAAUUUAGUAUGGAAAGAUUUUAUGUUGACGUUCUUAUUCCCACUCGUUUUCCCUCACUCUUUCACCUUUAUCAUCUGGCGAACGUUCCUUAUGACCUUCAGUCCAAUUUCAUCCCUCAUCAUGUUGACUCAAGUUAUUUAAUUUUAAAGGAAAUUUUAACGUGUUAAUUGUUUGGUAAUUUGUUUUGUCGUUAAUUUUUAACAUUUAUUUUUAAACACUUUGAAAAACGAGAUUUACGAUGAAUAGAAAAACGCCAUUUUAAUUUUUUGGAUUUUUCAAUUUACUCUUCAAGUUUUUUUACAUUUGAAUUUUUCGUAAACGGAAUCUUUUUGAAGAAAUACUCUGAAACAAUACUCUCUUCACUCUCGAUGCUCCUACACCGACGCAAAAAACCAUACAACUUACCUGGAAAAAAACCACCAAAUCGAUAAUAGAGGCAUCUCCAAUAGGCCCCGAGAUCAAGAAAACCUUAAU
rnacentral:lncRNA from 1 species